GGGAAUAUUGGACAAUGGGCGCAAGCCUGAUCCAGCCAUGCCGCGUGUGUGAAGAAGGCCUUCGGGUUGUAAAGCACUUUUGUACGGGAAGAAAAGCACUCGGUUAAUACCCGGGUGUCAUGACGGUACCGUACGAAUAAGCCCCGGCUAACUUCGUGCCAGCAGCCGCGGUAAUACGAAGGGUGCAAGCGUUACUCGGAAUUACUGGGCGUAAAGCGUGCGUAGGUGGUUUGUUAUGUCUGAUGUGAAAGCCCUGGGCUCAACCUGGGAAUUGCAUUGGAUACUGGCAGUCUAGAGUGCGGUAGAGGGUAGCGGAAUUCCCGGUGUAGCAGUGAAAUGCGUAGAUAUCGGGAGGAACAUCCGUGGCGAAGGCGGCUACCUGGACCAGCACUGACACUGAGGCACGAAAGCGUGGGGAGCAAAC
rnacentral:rRNA from 1 species